AACGAACGCUGGCGGCAUGCCUAACACAUGCAAGUCGAACGAGACCUUCGGGUCUAGUGGCGCACGGGUGCGUAACGCGUGGGAACCUGCCCUUAGGUUCGGAAUAACUCCCCGAAAGGGGUGCUAAUACCGGAUAAUGUCUUCGGACCAAAGAUUUAUCGCCUCUGGAUGGGCCCGCGUUGGAUUAGCUAGUUGGUAGGGUAAAAGCCUACCAAGGCGACGAUCCAUAGAUGGUCUGAGAGGAUGAUCAGCCACACUGGGACUGAGACACGGCCCAGACUACUACGGGAGGCAGCAGUGGGGAAUAUUGGACAAUGGGCGAAAGCCUGAUCCAGCAAUGCCGCGUGAGUGAUGAAGGCCUUAGGGUUGGAAAGCUCUUUUACCCGGGAUGAUAAUGACAGUACCGGGAGAAUAAGCUCCGGCUAACUCCGUG
rnacentral:rRNA from 1 species